AUGCCAUACCACAUUGAAAACAGCAGUUCUCCUCUGACCACCCAAGUCAAACAAUGUCGGCCCGGUUAGUACUUGUGUAGACACCUAAAGUAAAAGCUGUCGUCUACU